UUUAACUGACUUGUCUGUAGGGCGGUACAGAUCCGAACGUGACUGCUGCAGUUGAGAGAGAGAAAUGUGAUAAUUUAUGYUGCUGCUGCUCUUGCUUUUCAGGAGAGUGGAACAUGGCGCAUGUAGUUUGUUGUUGGUCAUAAAUAAUCAAAGCAGGAAUACCACAGUUUGAGUCAUAAUACCCGUAAACCACGGAAAUGGUUCCAAUCGUUUUUGCACCAUUCAUUUUUCGGUAGGGGUCAAGGGAAGAUCAUUUAACGUUGGCGAUUAUCGUCUGACUACACGAACGAUGAGCUAACGUUUAACUAGCWAGCUAAACGUUAGAUAAAUAUCCAUGCCCUGAUGGACUAACAUUGCCUAGUACAUCACCGCGUGGAAAAGUGACUAACUUACACGAACGAUGGGUGGACCGGAACCCAGUGACAACACUCAGGUCUGUAGCUGCCAUUUUCCAGUGGGAAAGAGAAAUGGCCCUGUAUUUACCAGAAAAGGUAGCUCUCCACCAUGGCAGAAGUGGAAGAUCCAGAUGGUUGAUUGGGAAACAAGAACAAACAAUGAGGCAUGAGGAUUGGUUGUUGAGAGACUGCUUGUCAAAUUGUCCAAGUCAGGAGUGGAUCUCUCAGACAAUCUGGUGCAUGGACAUCCUGUACCAGUGUGAUCCGAGCAGGAGUGUCCAUUUGUACAGCACAUCGAGCCUGUGGACGGACAGACAAAUAUGAUACAAUAUUGUGUAAAACAUUGCAUUUGUAGAUGCAUCAACAUUUUUACUUUUAUGUCUCCUUUUCCCAUGUUUUAGACAUGAGGCGUGACAUGUGGAACAUCAGG